rnacentral:rRNA from 1 species
UGGCGGACGGGUGAGUAACGCGUGAGAAUCUGGCUUCAGGUUCGGGACAACCACUGGAAACGGUGGCUAAUACCGGAUGUGCCGAAAGGUGAAAGAUUUAUUGCCUGAAGAUGAGCUCGCGUCCGAUUAGCUAGUUGGUGGGGUAAAGGCUUACCAAGGCGGCGAUCGGUAGCUGGUCUGAGAGGACGAUCAGCCACACUGGAACUGAGACACGGUCCAG